rnacentral:misc_RNA from 1 species
AAAUCUCAACCCCGCCGGGUUUUGUCGCUCGGUAGUUGGGCUUGGAUCGUGACCGCUUGCCGGCCUCCGUUCGGGGGCCCGGGCUCGGUCGAAAUACAAGAGUGGCUGAUUCCCAAUCCGGCCUGACUCGGCGUGAUAAUCACACUUCGCCGAUUACGGAUGGGCCAAAGGUCGCUUCCAAGGACACAACAUUUUUUGAAC